UCCUAAAAUGCUUUGGGGUGUUGCAUUA
rnacentral:piRNA from 1 species